CACUGCCGAGAAAAGCCUCUAGAUAGAAAAUAGGUGCCCGUACCGCAAACCGACACAGGUAGUCAAGAUGAGAAUUCUAAGGUGAGCGAGCGAACUCUCGUUAAGGAACUCGGCAAAAUGACCCCGUAACUUCGGGAGAAGGGGUGCUCUUUAGGGUUAACGCCCAGAAGAGCCGCAGUGAAUAGGCCCAAGCGACUGUUUAUCAAAAACACAGGUCUCUGCUAAACCGUAAGGUGAUGUAUAGGGGCUGACGCCUGCCCGGUGCUGGAAGGUUAAGAGGAGUGGUUAGCUUCUGCGAAGCUACGAAUCGAAGCCCCAGUAAACGGCGGCCGUAACUAUAACGGUCCUAAGGUAGCGAAAUUCCUUGUCGGGUAAGUUCCGACCCGCACGAAAGGCGUAACGAUUUGGGCACUGUCUCAACGAGAGACUCGGUGAAAUCAUAGUACCUGUGAAGAUGCAGGUUACCCGCGACAGGACGGAAAGACCCCGUGGAGCUUUACUGUAGCCUGAUAUUGAAAUUCGGCACAGCUUGUACAGGAUAGGUAGGAGCCUUUGAAACGUGAGCGCUAGCUUACGUGGAGGCGCUGGUGGGAUACUACCCUAGCUGUGUUGGCUUUCUAACCCGCAC
rnacentral:rRNA from 1 species